rnacentral:rRNA from 1 species
AACGUAGGUGGCAAGCGUUAUCCGGAUUUACUGGGCGUAAAGCGUGUGCAGGCGGUUGGACAAGUGGGGUAUGAAAUCGCCAGGCUAAACCUGGCGGGGUUAUGCCAGACUGUCCGUCUGGAGUGCGAGAGAGGGGCGUGGAAUUCCGGGUGUAGUGGUGAAAUGCGUAGAGAUCCGGAGGAACCCCAGAGGCGAAGGCGGCGCCCUGGCUCGCAACUGACGCUCAGACACGACAGCAUGGGGAGCGAACGGG